ensembl:lncRNA
AUGAGGUUUGUAGCAGAAACGCUACGCCAUGGCCUGAAGCAGUGAUUGAGCAGCUGGUGGGAAGGCAGGGCCAACCCAGGGGAGCUCAGGUGCAUGCACUGUACCUGAAUGACCAGAAGGGGUGGAGCCGGGAUCCACCCCUUCCCAGACCUCACUUAAGGGUUGGCAGUAGAGGUGAUGGUAUUUUGCUGGAGAUUCCCGUAUACCUGUGGCCUUUGGGAGGAAGGAAUUCUGCCUUCUAAAGAUGCACAUACAAACACCAUAAAUUGCUCUGCCUGGGAAUUUUGAGGCAUGUUCUAUUUUCUAAGCCACUGGGCACUCCUGUGUGACUGCAGGAAGACUGCAUUCAUCCACAGCAGGAAAACUCACACCAAGGUGGCAGGUUGUGCUCAUGAGAAGGAGAAGCAGCAGGAAUUUAUGAUAUCGAAGCUGGGAGGAGCAGUUCUUUUGGAGAAACACACACAAGCCAUUCUAGUUUAACCCAGCCCUUCCCGGUUCCAGUGCUAAGCUGCCAGCGACCUCCACUGAUGUCGGCUGUGGACAAAUGACACCCAGACAGGCACAUACCUACCCAGCCCUUGGGAAGCGUCCAUCUAGAGGAACUCUGCACUGCCACCCCUCUGCACAUCACAUAUCCCCAGGUUCCCCCUCCCACCUGGUGAGGGCUCAGAACCAGAGGAUGAGCACCACCCUUCUAUGCACCUUUCUACACGAUACGAACAUGAGUAGGUUUGGCCCAUCUGAAACUGCUUUUUGUCUUUUUUUUUCAAAUGUUCUGUUUUGGAGAUAGUGAUUUCCAGCUGCUUUGGAACAGUUGCCAAUCCCACAGGAGGGAAGGUAACAAGUGGCGGGAAAGACAGAGCCACCUCACUUCAUAUGCUUCCACCAUUCCCCAGUGUGGCUCAAUUCCAGAGGACCCUGGGAAGCCAUAGUAUCACCCUGACAAUAGCUGAUAUGACUCUUAAACUGUAGGAUGCUGUUUUUAUUCCUUUUGACAAAAUAUUUUGUAUUCUCAUCCUCCUGAGUCUCAGCACAGGAAAGCUGGCAUGGAGUUGUGAAGGAUUGUCAGGAACAGAUUUGUUUCUUACUCUGCAGAGAAGACUCAAGCCACCUAGCCAAAAUGCAUUUUACACCACAAUGCAAAAGAACAUCAGUGCAAAAUUCAUCAAAGCAUGUUUAAAUCUGUCUUUGUUUUUCAUCUCCACUAUUUCCUAGGAACAAAACCAUGGUUUUAAUGCCUUGGGUGGAGAUGGUUAUGAGGUGCAUAAACCCCAGAGAUGUUCUGGAAAUAAAUUUUCCUUCCUGAAGUGCAGGGGGCAAGAACCUUCUAAAGUAAAUGGCCAGGCCACAAGUUAAAUUCGCUGAUCUACUAUAGGUCAAAGAGAAACUAACUGGUGACAAUGUGCAGGAUGUAUCAUCAUUACCAUCAUUCAUGUUAAUUGUUCUAGUACCUUAAGACCAACUGCAGAUGGAUUGUUGUUGUACAAGAGUAGCUGACAGUUUCUGACCCAUGGAAGUUACCCUUCAGUAACCAGGAAGUUGAGAAAAGCAACUAGAACAUGCAAGCAGAAACACUCAUGCAUCAUAUUGAUCUCAGAGCAUUUAAUUUUAUUUCUGUCUCUCUGUGUGUAAGUUAAAUAAGAUAAAUGGAAAAAAUGAAUGCAGGAUAGAUAAGAAAGGGUAGAUGAGACAAGAGGGACAAAAUACACAUUUUUAAAACCUGAAUUUCUCUUUGACCUAGAAACUCUACAUUUUUGUCAAGUCUAGAAUGCAACUCACAUGUUUGCACACACAUUCUGCAGCCACAGUCCCAUCCACCUAGGGAGCUGUGGAAUUUGUUUCAUGAGACAUGCAGGUUGUCUGUCAGCCAUGGAGGUUUAGAAGUUGUUCUGCCUCUUUGUGUCUUUCAUCCAGCCACAGGAAUACAGCUCCUAGUUUGAUCUUUGUUACUGGCAAGCAUCCAUCCGUCAGUCCCAUCUGUUACGCUGAGCCUGUGUGUGACACAUGCAGCAGAUUGAGUCCCGAGGGCAGACUGAUGAGGGGCUGGUGCACACUUGCAUUUCUUACCAGUGACUGAAAUGUAUAUGCCAGCAUUUUCUGCAGAUGGAAAAUAGGGAAGUACUCAAAUGUCAGGGAGGGGUUUGGUGUCAGUACUUCUAAAAGUCAAUAACUCACAGACAAGAUGGCAGCCCCAUUUAGAGAUUUUAAUAUUUCCACUCCUAGAGCUGCCUCCAAAACAGGUCUUUGGCCAUCAUGCCCUGGAGCUGCUAGGAUAUUUCCAAAUUCUCUUCUACGACGUCCAGGGAUGUUCAGUGAGUUUCUUCCCUUCUACUUUCUGGGUGCAGAGGAUAUGAUGGCAAACCACAGAGGCAUUCAGAAGCUUUGGGUUUUAUUGCAUUUCUGCUUCCCUCUAUUUGAACAAUUCAGUCUCUAAAUAUCCUUCCUUCCACAUCAACUAUCAGUAUCAUCUACAAAGCAGGUUUUUUUUUUUGUACAGAAGAUUUAUUUCUGAACCUUGAAUUGAACAUAGUUCCUGGUCCUCCCAUGCUAGUACUGCAUAAGUAACUGUGUACUGAAGUGCUGCAAAUGAACUGAAGGAGUCACCCCAGGAGGUCAAAGGGCUGCUACUGAGACAUAAGAAAUGUGACAUCUAAGUGCUGCAGUUGUAUAAAAGCAGUAAUAGUGCAGCUGAAAACACAACUGAUAAUAAACCAAACAAGCAGAAAACUCACGCCUGUCAUCUGUUGAGGUCUGCACAAAAUACACCAAGUAUUGUGUGGAGGAAAUUGUGUGUACAAGUGGGCCAAUAUCCAAAUACAGUAUCAAAUGGUAUCACUCUAACUGAACAAAGGUAUGACUAGUGAUCAGAACAUCUAUGUGUGCUAAAUGUAUUGAUAUUUAGCCAAUAAAACAAUGUAAAAUGUGUGUAUGAGAACCAAAGAGAACACAAGAUGCAACGCAGAAAAAAUUAAGUAUAUACAUUAAGGAAAGCCUCAGGUUGAGCGCAGGCUACUGGAAAAUCAGACCCUACCCGGUGCUUUCAGGUCACCAACACAACACAAAGUAUGUGUGUAGCUUCUUCCCCCAGUAAGAAAAUCUGCCUGAUGAACCUGGUGUGCAGCUAACUGUGCAGUUUAUGCAGGCCUAGUUGAAACUGGGGAUAUCAUCUGCAACAGCAAAUGGGGACAAGAAAGGAUGAGCCCCAGCAUAGCGCUGUGUGAGGGUCCCCCUGCACUGCUCCCAUGUCCCUGACUCUCACGCUAUGGAAAAAGCUGCCCACAGCCCAAAGGCUGUCAGAACCACCAGCCAAAACCUUUGUAGAAACCCCAGCUUUUAUCUCCAUUCUUGUAACAAUGAGCAUAAACGAUUCCACAGAUCCAUCUGCUGCCUUCCCUGUCCUGACAAGUGGACUCUGAAGUUCUUUUAUUAAGCCAGCUGCAAAUCAAUUUCCUCACUGGAUCAGCACAGCACUGAAGCAAACAUAUAUGCAGUUUCUCGUAGGGCUGAGCUAAAUUAAACCCUAAUACCUUAUGGCAGUUUUUUCCUUCCAAUGUUCAGUGUAAUGUAGUUUCAUUUAAAGGACUAGGCUACCUCAAAAAUAAUAGCCUAGUUAAAGUAAUGCAUAAAACUGCAUGGGGAAAAAACAAACAAACAAAAGAACCCACAGAUUUUCUAGCUCUGAACAGCUAUUACCCUCUGUGACAAGACUAGGAAGGCAAUAUCCCUGAUUUCCACAUAGAAAUUCAUACAGGUCAUUGUAUUAAUCUUUUUUUUUUUUUUUUUUUUUUUUUUUUUUCCCCAGGUCUUAGCUCUUUGAACACCUUUUCACUUGUCACACAGGGAAACAUAU